AACCGCACGGGAUAAUACUAUUAUCGCAUGCGGUUGUCCUAAGCGGACCGCACGGGAUAAUCUAUUAUCCCGUGCGGCC
rnacentral:pre_miRNA from 13 species